UCAACACCACAAACCAACACCAAAACAACCUUAUAUCAUCCUAAUAACAAUCUAUGGUGGCUUAAACAUCUAAACUUGAAAGAUUAAUGCUUAAUAAUAAGAUUUAGCAAGCAAAAACUCUUCUUCUUCUUCUCUUUCUUGUUUGAUCCGAAAACAGCUCCCAAAACCCAUAAAAGAUCACUUCUUAAUCAUCUACAACAAGCAAAAAACUCUUAGAUUCGAUCUAGUGCAAGAACAAGGGCAUACUUAAUCGACUCAUCCUUUUCUUCAUCCAUACCCUCUUAAGGUGAUUAGAUGUUUCUAUGCUUGGAAUCAACUUGUGUGUGCUUUUGUUUGAUGAAUAAAGACUCAACC